ACUGAAGUCCCUCUUUACACCUGCUAAACUUUCAGAGGAAGAGUUCGAAGUCAUGGACCCCACCCAUAAGUGCUCAAGGCCUCCUGAUUACUCCUGGACUGGGAAGAAGUCUUCCUGUCUUUCACAAAAGCAUGAUUUCAAAUGUGGACUCCCAAAGGGAGUAACAGUGGUGGUCUUAAAGAUGACGCAACUUUUAAUUCAAGUAAACUCUUCCUAGAGAAAGCAAGAAGAUGGAAGGAGAAUUUGGACAAAUUUGUACCUUUCUGAGUUGGCAGCAUCUAAACAGAGGUGCGCCGGCAGCUGUCAAUGCCUGCUAGAACUACAAGCAACUCCUUGGAAAGAAAGGGACUGCUGCUUAUUUAAAAUAUGUUGUCUUAAAGGAAGCAUCACGGUUUUGCUCAUGUUUAUCCAACUGGUUUGUCACAAACCAUAG